rnacentral:rRNA from 1 species
ACUCCUACGGGAGGCAGCAGUGGGGAAUAUUGCACAAUGGGGGAAACCCUGAUGCAGCCAUGCCGCGUGUGUGAAGAAGGCCUUCGGUUGUAAAGCACUUCAGUAGGGAGGAAGGUAGUGUAGUUAACACCUGCAUUAUUUGACGUUACCUACAGAAGAAGCACCGGCUAACUCCGUGCCAGCAGCCGCGGUAAUACGGAGGGGUGCGAGCGUUAAUCGGAAUUACUGGGCGUAAAGCGCAUGCAGGCGGCCUGUUAAGUCAGAUGUGAAAGCCCGGGGGCUUAACCUCGGAAUUGCAUUUGAAACUGGCAGGCUAGAGUCUUGUAGAGGGGGGUAGGAAUUUCAGGUGUAGCGGUGAAAUGCGUAGAGAUCUGAAGGAAUACCAGUGGCGAAGGCGGCCCCCUGGACAAAGACUGACGCUCAGAUGCGAAAGCGUGGGGAGCAAACAGGAUUAGAUACCCUGGUAGACUGUCA